rnacentral:lncRNA from 1 species
ACUCUGCUAAGCGUAUGUAAAGAUUUAGGCGUGGUCUGAGUGAUUAGUGCGUAUCACUUUGAGCAUGUUAUUAUGAUAGUUUUACUAAUAAACAUAUACUGGUUCCAAUCUCAGCGUUGGCAAAAUUAUUAAAAAUUAUGAGGAAAAUAUUGAAGGCUUCUUAAGACUCUCAAUAAAGGAUAGGAAUUAAAAGUGCUAAAAAAAUUUAGCGGUGAACCUGACAAUGAAUCUGGGAGAUCGUGUACCUGAUAGUAACAAACCUAUUGUCGGUAGUGCUCACGAAGUGGUAAUCAUCAAAUCUGGAAGCGGUAAACACCAACAAAUCGCUUCGCCUAUGCUUCUUCGGGCAAAUCUCACCUGGUUGCGUAAAGGCCACGGAGGCAUUGGGCUGACUCCCGUGGAUCAUACUUAUUUAGCGGUGGCCAGGAAAAAUAUACAUGCAGGCUGAAAAAGAAUGAUUUAAGCAGCAGUAGAUCCACCCCAGCUAUUCCGCGGUAUUGAAAGCGAAGCAAAGGCCAACUGUACAUUCAUCAACGUUAACAGGGAGACAUGUAAAGCAUAAUAAUAACUAGUCUAAUUGGAUUACCGCCGUGCAUUUUACAGUGUAUAAAGAGACUCUUUCUUAAACGCCGUGGAGGUCCGCAUACCGUAUACCAGAGCCUUUGGUACAUAAGAUGUAGCACUAUGAUUCAAAUUUACUGUUAAAAAGAAAACAACUAUCUUCGCCGCGCAGGUCACAAUGACACCUUUGUAGACCCGCGGCAGUCUGCGCGGGAUCGCAGAAUUUCGUUGAACAACGAAAUUCACAAGUUCAGUUUUGCUGUCUAGGCGUUGGUAGAUGACCUACUUGCAGCUAUCAGGGAGCUUGAGAAUGCUUUGUAACACCGAGAGCAUUCUGGUCCGUUCUUAACGAUUCCGAACGCUCAUUAUCUAUUAUAUCGAAGUCUCGAAUAAAAUUGCACGCUGAAUACUUUUUUUUUAUUUUAAUAACAUUUGUUCUGUGUAGUAGGCAUCGUUGGUCGCAACCACCUGACCCUGAGUUUUGCGGGAGUAGCUGCCCGAGAGAAUAUAAGAUCCAUGAGUUCCUUCUAAAUGUCGCACUCAGUUGAAAAGAAAGCCGGCUGAAGUUCUAAUAUGAAUUCUCCAAGUACGCGCAAUCGUUGUCAUUCUCGGGCCGAAUUGUCAUCUCAGUCGUACUGAAAUCCUCUAUGAAACACGGCCGGGCCUAGAGAAGAAACAGAAAGCUAACGAAGUUGCCAACGAAAUUGUCGAAUUUCAUUGCUGAACAACACAUCGGGGAGACGGCGGCGCUGAUACACUUUUAAACACGUCUACCUGUGCUAACCUGAUAAAGCCCAUGGAUCGCUCGUCACGCCUCUGAUCCUCGCUAGCAAACAUCUACGUCUCCAACAUCCAAAUCUUUGGGGCCCAGAGCUACCCAUGAAAAAGGCAAAGGGACGAAUUGAAGCCACACCGUUACCGCCCAUUUUGUUCCAACGAGGGUGGUCCAACGAAGUUUUUGGAGCCGACUCGAACAGCAUGGGGCAAAAGGGAACGACAAAAGGGAGAAGACUUUUCGACCCAUCAAUCCUUACCUUCAAGGGGGCAACAGCCAAGGGCAGAUUUUCGGGGUUCAGGCGGUUGGUCGUUCUUGACAGUCACAGGCAAUUGCCAACUGAGCAUCGUGUGCUAGUUCGGUAAUUCGUUCAAAAUCGACAUCGCUUUGCUUCGUGGAACUGACAAUAUGUUCCUCACCAUUUCGUGCCAUAUCAGGGAGUUCACAUGGUUUUGCAGUGUAUUUUGGAGGAGUCGAUUUGUAUUGUAUUAUUAUAUGGAGACGUAGAGUUUCCGGCUCUGUUAGUUAAAAGAAGAACGAAAAACAUCAAUGAAAGAGACGGUGAAGGAAAUAGUCAAUUACCAUCUAAGGGUAAGCCGGGCACUUAGUAAUCGAUAGUGUUUGGUCAACAGCACGAUCUAUAAGAAGAUUAGAGCAAAGCUAAAUAAUAAAUUAUUUAUGGGUCUUUUGGGUCUAUCACGGAUUAAAUCUAGUCCGAGGUCAAGAUAUAUAAUCUCGAAAUACUCGCUUUCGUUGACGUUAUAUCGUCGGUAUUGUCAGUCAUAUUUGACUCCGUAGACUUGUCAAGUCAGAAAACUGCACUCUCUGAGCCCAUUUAACAUUAGUAAUCAUAGAAUCAUACGCGAGAGUCUUACAGAAAUUGAUUUAAGAAAGUUAUAUUUCUUUAAAAAAUUCACUGAAGCGAGAUGAGUUCAUAAAGUCAAAAGGUUUUGGCUUUUUUUUGGAUUUAACAUAUCAAUUUUGAAUGGUCUCUCGAAAUUUCUGGAGUUUGUUUUGUUAACCUUUAGCUCCAACAAAAAAAUUGAGAAGUUUAAGCUAACAAACAUUUUUAUUCAAACCUUUAAAGCCUGAACUCGAUUCCUUUCACAGCAGACCGCAAUCACGGAAGGCUUGUAAAAGGGACGAGACGUACCUAAUACUUUAACCUACCUAGUACCCUUUAAUAACUCCACCUGAUACUCAAUUAGAAACCGAUGGCUCAGACGACAUGAAAGCCACUAAACAAACGACAAAAAUCUCACUAAUUUAUUAUUAUAGCACGAAUCCAUUGGAUUAUAUACAUAGACAUCUCUUAACUUGUAGCAGCCAACAUUCUUGACCCCAAUAAAUAAACUAUAAAUGCUCGUCGACGUAUAGCUCAAACAUGCUGGCACGUUAGAAGUCACUUAGAGAGGCUCGACUGAAUAUCAUGUAAAGACGUUUUAAAGCUUCUUUCAGUUUAAAAAAAAAAUUGGUUUAUUUCGGCGCUGCGACUUGGCGGAGCUUAAGGUUCCACAGCAAGCAGUGAACAUAAUUUUAGCAUAUGAUUUUAAUUACGCCAGGUACGAGGUCAAUCAUCUCUGGAUCUCAUUAGCUGCUGCCGCUGUUAUUCUCCCAUACGCCGCUGGCGAAGAUCAUGCUAUCGCCGUCUGGUCCGUGCCUAUUCAGCGCGUGAUAACAAUAAUGAUCCGGUUGAAGCAUUAUCCCACUAGCAUACAUUAUUCCUUUUGCGUAAGCGUUACAGCAUAACCAGUAUCAGCAUAUAGCGUGUUUUAUGUGCAUUGGCAGGUUCUUUGUGACUUUCAUACGUACUUUGAUACAAUACUUACAUAUAUAAAUUAGGCAUAAGUUUCAUAUCACCAACUGCUAAGGACUACAUAUAAGUAGGUCGAUGAAAAACAAUUGCGUUUAGAGGCAAAUUCAGAAGUAUAAAUUUGAACUUACAGUUCACUGCAGCUAUCAUUAGUCCAGCUUUUCCCCGGUGGUAGAAAAAUUUCAUGCACAAGCCUUCACACAUACACCGUAAGCUCGAGAAGGGCUUACCUAAUCAGUACAACUAUUUAGUAACGGUUGGAUAUGUUUAUAACGUUGUAAAAAAGCUUGCGUUUCCAACAGCUUAAAAUGUAGAUGGUAAACUUGUUCUAGACAAAAUCCACUAUCUUUAGAUGGGACCGCAUAUGUUACUUUGUGAAAAGAUGGGAGAAAAUCAUAAACAAAACGUAGCUGAUAAUGUCAUAAGAAUAAAAGAUGUAGUGCUCCUCCUGCUUUCUGCAGUUGAAAAAAGUGUAGAAACUUUUUUCUUUGACAUAAUAUUGUUGCUCCAACUAGGAACGAUAGAUUACCGUUAUUUUUGCAAGGAAAUCUUGCAUUGCCUUAUCCGCUUGCUAAGUGGUUUGACGAAAAGCUUUAAAGUAAUAAUUAAAAGCAGGCUUCGAUAGCGCUUAAAUGAGAACGGUGUCCUAUAGGUCAAUCAAAAUGGAUACGCGGAUCUAUUAAUGAAAACGCAAGUCUAUUCAGACAGAAGCUACAAAAAUAAUAAAUAGGGAGAGACUAUAGAGAACGCCAAGGGUCGCUCAAAAAAGCUAUUUUUAGUCAUCUUUUUAGACGUGAUAAAUGCGUUUAAUAGCUUUCCGUGAAAAUCGAUAUUGAGCAAACUAAAUCAGCAUCUAUCUCACAAUAUCUUUCCAUUUCUAGGUGAUGAUAGGCGCCCGACAGAAAUUGAUCCUUAGUCUUUCGUUGUAGAAUUUGGCGUAUGACGGAGUAAUGCAACUGGAGAAUCUCCCGAUCGCCGUAAAGCUCAUCGCAUACGCAGAUGGCCUAAUAGUCACUUUAAGCGUAAAACACCGUAAAGCGUAGAACCUAAAAACUCGUACGAGCGGCACUCCAAUUGACACAAGCUUGCUUUCUGGAUGAAUAAAAAUG